CCCAGCACCGAAGCCUGCGGCAGUUUUGCUGUUAGGCAAUGUGGUGUGUGGGUCGGCUCGCGGGACCAUCACUCCACUCGAAGUCCAGCAUUGAGUAUGGCAAUCACUGGAUUUGGCCCAUAGAGGGUGAGAGGCCCGUACGGGUGGAGGUUCAGACAUGUACGAUGGUUCACCAGGCCGGCCUCAGAGUCGGGUUGUUUGAGAUUGCAGCCCAAAGAGGGUGGUAAACUCCAUCCAAGGCUAAAUACUGCCACGAGUCCGAUAGCGAACAAGUACCAUGAGGGAAAGUUGAAAAGUACUCUGAAGAGAGAGUAAACAGUACGUGAAGCCGCAUGCAGGUAAACGGGUGGCGUCAAGCUGCGAGCCCGGAGGAUUCAGCUGACUGGGAUGUAGUGUACGUACGCCUGGUGCGUCGAGAGGCCGGAAUAAGAUGUGAUGGUCCACUCUUCUUCUGGGAGUGGGGUGUGAUCGGUGUGCACUUGUGUAUGCCGGUUGUCGCUAUGUUUGCUGGACGGGUGCCAGUACAUGCCAUUCAUCUGUUGGGCCACCUAGUCAGUGCAUUUUCUCCGUGGUGAACACCACGACCGGUGGAACUGCCAGUCUGCUGUGGUCAAGUUGUGUUCUACUAGCGCUUUAUUGUGUUGGUGGAAUAUGAUCGCAGGUAGAGUCGGUGGACGGCGCAGUGGUGCUUCGGUACUGCCGCGUGUUAUCGUACACUCUCUAUCGUAAGCAGUUAGUAGGGUUGACUAAGUGCUGUGACUACUUUCCUACUAACUGGCGGACCAUAGUGGUGAAAGGGACUGUGCAGGGCACCGGAGUUGUCCACCUCAUUCAAUAUGGUACCCGGCACGCACGUUACAGGUGCUAUACAAUCGAGAUGCGCCGCUGUCUAUCUGGUGUUGGGCCUGGCUGUCGUGUUGCCUGCAAAAG
rnacentral:rRNA from 1 species